AGUAAAGAAAGCAGCUUGCCAACUUGUUCAUCCAAUUGCUCUAAAUAAUCUCUUUCCAGGAAUCAAGUGAUUCAAGAGGCAGGGACUGUUGCUUCUUCAUUUCACUGUCUAAAGGAACCAUAUGUUACCAUUCUUAUUCAGAGGGGAACACUCCUGAGGAUCUUGAUUAAAGGCAACUCAUGCCACCAACGGUAUUUCUAUGAUCUACCUACUAUGGAGCUGAAAAGUAAAGAUGGAAAUAAGCCUAUCUACAAACAGGAUGCUCUCUAUCAAGAGUCAUGAGAAUUGUCUUCAGAGGGUGCUGAAGAGACAUCAACCUGUCUUCUUUGAGACUCCUAGUGUUGGUGUGGAAGAUGCUACUGGAGACAACAGGUUCCUCCAGGCCUGAUUGCUUGGUCAAUUGUGAAUCACCUUUGAUGAAACAUACUCCGGCAUAAGAUGAGCCAGCGUGUGGCACCUGGCAUUUCAUUAAACAAUUGCACUGACUUAGAGGAUGCCCAGGAACCCAGACCACUACAUACACCAAAUCUCUUUUCUGAAAAUCCAUGGAGAAAUUUUUCCAGGUAAAGCUGUGUUUCAUCUGGAGCAAUCAUUUUGUUUUUACUUUAUAGAUACUAUAAAUCUGUCGUAUGUUAAACUUUUUGCUUGUGUUUAGCAUAUAACACAUGCUCACUAAAUAUCUGCUAAUGAAUGAGUGAAUUAAUAAAUUUUCUCCAUGCUCUGACCACUAAGCUGAGAGAAAAAUGUAAUACUUCAUCAAUUAAUUGCUAUAGGCAGGCCUGAUGGCACACUUUGAGUACUGACUCUAUCCCUGGCUUCACCUUUAUUUUCUGGGGUUAAUUUUAUCUUCAUUCGUUUUACCCUAUAAGCCAUUUACAUCCUUUCCUGGAAAAACAAGACGGGAUAAAAAUGUUUAAGAUUUGAUUAUAAAUUUCCACAAUUUAUGUUGACACUAUAGCCUUGGCUAAGAUGGCCUUACACUUACCUGUUUUCAAUUCCUGUUCUCUCAUCCCCUCAAAACAAUUAAGGUUGAAUUGUGGACAAAUUUUCUAUUUCAAAAUGUAUUACU
rnacentral:lncRNA from 1 species